UGCAAACAGGACCUUGCAGGUGGACUGAGGAACUUGCCUUCCUGUGCUCUGUGGAACACUCCUGAUACUUGUUCACGUCAUGGUCUGUACCAGGGAGCAUGAGGACUUCCUGUGAUGGAGGAUAAAGGAGAGAACUCCAGUUUCUCCUGGGUUUUCAGCCUGCAUCUUUACAGAUAAGUGUUCAUUCAUAUUUACCAGUUCACAACCUACCACACACAGACCUAGUCCAAUGCCCUGUCCAUUCUGGGCCUGGCCCCAAGAGAGAGAGUGUCACAGGAAGCCUAAGUGGGAGAGGAUGGGGCAUAUUUGUUUUCCUUUUUUUUUUUUUUUGAUGCCACAGAGACCUUAGCCACCAUGUUAGGGAGCACCAGAAAAGGGAAAAUUCACCCCCUUCUAUCCUUUACAUUGGCACAGAAGCUGAUAUUGGAUCUGCUCCUUCUUCAGGAGCAAAUGUUGAGUUUAAGUGUUUCACUUAUAAGAACUUGGUGAUCAGGUGUAGGCAGAGCUAGGACUCCUACUGCUGUUACUCUCAGUUGGGGUGCCCUGUAACAAUGUUGCCUAGAAAUCAGUGCCAGGGAUGCAUUUCCUGGCAGGGGAGUAGUACCUUCUGAGCCCAUGGGAUGUACCUUCUGAGCAGUCUGGGGCUGGGGGUCUGAGUGUCUCGCCAUCUCUGGACCCCAAAUCCCAGAAUCCUGCAACAGCAAGCUCUGAGAGUUCUUGCAGGUGUUUUCAGAGUCCCAGAUGAGACCAGUGAGCAAUGGCUUCUUCCCCAGCCCUUCUACUGCUCAGACUGUGGUUACUGUGGUGUACCUGGGGCUGCAAGGAUCCAUGGAGGGGGCACAAGGGACCAAACUGCUGCCAGAGAGGCCCUUUGAUGGGAGGUUUGUCUCUUCCCUCUGUUUACGCCCAUUACUCUCAGAGCCUUCUUGGACUCUGCCCACUUGUUCCAGUUGCUUGUUCCUCUGCUUCUUGCGUAGAAGGAAUGGGAAACAGGAGCCCAACUGGGUCUGCCUGGGCCCCCUCCCAAGGAUUUUCUGGGGUGCAGGGAGAGGAAGAGAGGUGGGGUGUGCUAUGCCAGGCCUCACCUCUAAGUUCCAGGAGAUUCUUAGGAGGGAGUUCUGGUCUGGGUUCUGGAAACCCAAUUCCAAUGUUGUUUUCUCCUGGCCCUUAUCUUCUAGGAGGGACCAUGGGGGUCACAGGGUAAGCUGCUGGGUGUGGUCCUGGUCUGCAAAGUUGGCUAGACGCUGCCAGGUACAUCUGGGAGGGUCUGGAGAGGAAUGCAAACAGCUUAGCUUCACGGGGAAAAUGGUCUCUGGAGCCCCACCUCCCUAGGCCCCCUUCUCCAGGCACUCAGAUGUGGUCAGGGUCACUUCAGCAUCUGAGAAGAGGGUCGGGGGUUCAGGGAGGGAUGAGGGACACUAUGCUUGUUGGGAUUUGGCAUGUGGCCGAGGUCUCAGUCUGUUUCUCUACUCAGUACAGUAGGAUCUGGGACCUGGCUGCCCUCAACGAUGAUCCGCGGGGACAUGGUUUUGCCUGCAUCAAUAGACUCAGAAGAAUACUGUCUCGCAGUCCUGCCCAGCACAUCUGCAGAACUCUUGUCCAAGGCAUCUCUUUGGAGCCUGGCACAAGCCUGGACUGGUGGCCUCGACGCUGGGACCAGCUUGGGUGGUUUUCUGGAACUCUGGAAUGUUCCUAGCUGAUCCCUCCUUCUCCCACCUGGGACAACAUGCCCUGCAGGAAAGACCUACCUGGAUCAGUCCUUGGGUGGUAUGGGCGCCUGCUGCCCUCUGUGGACCUUCCCGACCUCCAGCGGACUGGAUUGUAACAUAUGUCCAGCAGUUUACCUGACAGCUCACUUGGGACAAGGUCCCACUGACCACACCUCCAGGAGGUGGGGCCUGAGGAGGACCCAAUGGGAGGGCUGCAGCAACCAGGGACAAGGCUUGCUGGGGACCCAAUGGGAGGAUGACAGGAACCAGGGAGCGUGGCCGGGAAGGGGCAGCGCCGUCUGCUGGACUAAGUCUCCAGCUGUUUGUCUAUGAGUGAUUUCUUGGAUUGCAGGGCCUAGGGCGAGCCUGAGCUAUGUGGAGCAGCACUUGGGAUGGGGAAAAGUGGGGCUGCUUUUCUGAAAGGGGAAGGUUUGUGAGAUACCCAGACCUGGGGAGCUGGUGAGGCUCAGAGCCUGGUUCCAUCCUUCAGGGAACUGGCUGGAACCAUCCGCAAGCUUGAGAGCACUGCAGGUUCUGUCCGUGGGGGGAAUGCCAUCAUAUGGGGGACCAGCAGCUGGGAGAGGGUGGCUGGAUGAGCAGGAGAUUAAGUGAGGUCCAAGGUUUCAGUGCUUGGUGCUUUCUCUGCUGUGGCCUCUCCAGCUUGGCUUGUAGAUCGUUCCUUCUGACCUGAG